UGCGGUUCAAAUNGGAGNUCAACCCCAGAAAUCUUACCCCGGAGAGACCAGCAGAAUGAAGGUCCAAGCUGAAGACUUUUACCAGACAAGCUGAGAGGUGGUGCAUGGCCGUCGCCAGCUCGUGCCGUGAGAUGUCCUGUUAAGUCAGGUAACGAGCGAGAUCCCUGCCUCUAGUUGCCACCAUUACUCUCAGGAGUAGUGGGGCGAAUUAGCGGGACCGCCGCAGUUAAUGCGGAGGAAGGAAGGGGCCACGGCAGGUCAGUAUGCCCCGAAACUCUGGGGCCACACGCGGGCUGCAAUGGUAGCGACAAUUGGUUUCGAAUCCGAAAGGAUGAGGUAAUCCACAAACGCUACCACAGUUAUGACUGAGGGCUGCAACUCGCCCUCACGAAUAUGGAAUCCCUAGUAACUGCGUGUCAUUAUCGCGCGGUGAAUACGUCCCUGCUCCUUGCACACACCGCCCGUCGUUUCAUUGAAGUGAGCUCUUAGCGAGGUGACGUC
rnacentral:rRNA from 1 species